GGAAGCAAAAGUCGUAACAAGGUUUCCGUAGGUGAACCUGCGGAAGGAUCACUACUGAGUUUUGAAUGAAGUUGUUCUGGUCUUUCGGGGCAAGUGAACGCUUCUCUCAAUCCAUCUUACACCUGUGCACCUAUCGGGGAAGACUUGGAUCUAAGUUGGGUCACGACGGCGAUCUACAGUCUCCUCUUUAUACCAAAUAACAGUUUUAGAAAGUCUUUUUUGCUUGAUGCAAACUUAAAUAAAUACAACUUUCAGCAACGGAUCUCUUGGCUCUC
rnacentral:misc_RNA from 1 species